CCGUGUGAAUAUGUUUAACGCUAUGAAUCUGUGGCAGAAUCCUGUUACUUUAAUCAGAGCGCUUAACCUGUUGUGCCGUAAGCUACCAAUACCAUAUUGACAUGUACUGAGCGAGAGCCUGAGUUGCUUAACACAUAGCAUGACUAACCUGUUAUAUUGUACACAUGAAACCUACCAUUUGAGCAAUUACUAACUGACCGUAACACCCAUUUCUUAAACAAUUGCUUGUAAUACUAUGUUUACUUGACGUUUCAAAAACAAAAAAUAUCUGGC